AACCACAGCCAGUGAAGAAACCACGAGGAAGGCCAAAAGGAAGCAAGAAAAUUACUGUUCUAACUGGAGGAACGGCAGAGCCUUCUGCUGGGAAGAGGCGAAGAGGGAGGCCCCGCAAGUGGCCUCAAGCAGUGGUCCAAGAGGGAGAGUCUCAGGAAGGAAAUCCUCUGGAAAGCAGUGACUUGAAUUUGAACUCGGCACCAGCCACACAAGACAUCACUGGAAAAGACGGCUCCAGGUCUGGCAAAACCACUGGUCUUAGGAGAUGUCUGAGUAACAUCCCUGCUGCAGCUCAGUAGUGUCCCACCUGUUUGUGUCUUGCUGAAGCCAGAGGAGUGGAAAGCAAACAGGACUUUUAAUGUUGUAUUUCACAUUCUUCAUUUGUGAUA